UUAAUGUCUGUAAUCAGCUGGGGUAGUUUCAUGGUGUUGAACAGCUGCUGUGUGUUUUAGAAACCAGCAGGUGUCUCUGUGUCUCUGUGUCUCUGUGUCUGAGCUUCAUAUGGCUUCUUUCAGACAUCACUAGGCAACAUGUGAAAAAUGGAGUGGAUUGUGAAGUGCAAAAGGUAAAAUAGUACACUACUUUGCAUACUAAGUAAGUAACUUAGUAAGUAUCUUACACACAUUUAAGAAAUCUAUAUUUCUGAUACAGAAACUUUGAAAACGGGUCAGAUUUGACUCGAAGACAACAAGAGGGUUAAGAGGAAGUUACAGUCAACCAUAGAGCUUUUAUUGUGAAAAGCGGAAGUGGAUAAAGUGUAGUGUUGUGGUUGAAUAAAGUGAGACGUGCAGUGCCGUCCUGGUUCCGACAUUGGACGCCCGUGUUUCUUUAUUUUAUAGUCAAACCUGAGUCUAGGAGAAACAGAAGAAACCCUCGGUUACAUUAGUAAACAAACAUAUGACCGGAAGUUGUUGGUACGACCCGUAAUAGCGUCCGUCCCCGGAACUAACGUUAACUGUUGUGUGUCACAUCACGGCGGAGUAAAAGGCGCCAGUGUUUAGUUUCUUAAGAAGAGAGAAAGGUCCCAAACUGCUGGAUGUGGUUUUAAAAGUUGAAACAAGCUCCACAGAGCAGGUCGGGGAGAAGAGGAGCAGAGCCGCGAGGAACUUUAACAUGAAGUCUGAGAGGAAGCUGUCAGCGGACCAGGGGACAGAUGUUCUGGAAGUUAUUGUUGGUGAAGAGGAGCAGCAGGAGUGUAGCUCCAGUGUGGACCAGCAGGAGGCAGAGCCCCCCACACACAUUAAAGAGGAACAGGAGGAACUGUGGAGC